UUGGCUCUUUGGGCCGCAAGGCCUGAAGAAUUGAUUAAAGGGAGUGGCAGAAGGGCGAGUAACACGUGGGUAAUUUACCCUCAUAGCCGGGAUAACUCACCGAAAGGUGAGCUAAUACUGGAUAUGACCACGGCAGGGCAUCCUGCUGAGGUAAAAGGAUGGUUGAGGCUACGUAAGUAGCAUGCUGUUAUAUGGGGAGGAGCCCGCGUCCUAUUAGCUAGUUGGUAGGGUAAUGGCCUACCAAGGCGACGAUGGGUAGCUGGUCUGAGAGGAUGGUCAGCCGCACUGGGACUGAGACACUGCCCAGACUCCUACGGGAGGCUGCAGUCGAGGAUCUUUUGCAAUGGGCGAAAGCCUGACAAUGCGACGCCGCGUGCAGGAUUAAGGCCCUCGGGUCGUAAACUGC
rnacentral:rRNA from 1 species